rnacentral:rRNA from 1 species
GACGAACCGUGCGAACGUUGUUCGGAAUCACUGGGCUUAAAGGGCGCGUAGGCGGCUUGCCAAGUCAGUGGUGAAAUCCUGCAGCUUAACUGCAGAAGUGCCUUUGAUACUGGCGAGCUGGAGGGAGGUAGGGGUAUGUGGAACUUCUGGUGGAGCGGUGAAAUGCGUUGAUAUCAGAAGGAACGCCGGUGGCGAAAGCGACGUACUGGACCUCUUCUGACGCUGAGGCGCGAAAGCUAGGGGAGCAAACGGG